rnacentral:lncRNA from 1 species
AAACACUCAUUGUUAGAGGUUUCUUGCUCUGGUCUAGAAAAAAUGUGCUGCCUGUUGCAGACAUUUGGAAUCAGAACAAGGGAGAGUAAAGGCACAUGCCUUGACCAAGUUCCAUUAGUAUUAGUAAAUAUUGUCCAUUUUUAUAAUCUAGACUUGGUAGAUAUAAAAGUCUAUAAGCACAUCUCGGUCACAAAGUUGAAUCUACAUGAAGUUCUUAGAAUUGGAUGUGAUGGAAUAGUUUUCUUUCUGUGGUCAGUACAUAAGAUCUUUGUUAAAGGUGUGUAUUCUAUAAUCCAAAACUCUUUUCACCCACCUGUUAUAUAUGCUAUAUUCAGAUGUAUAUAAAUAUAGAAUGCUUACCAGAAACUACUUACUCUCAGUGCCAGAGAGAGCCUCGGUGAUAGGGAGUGUGCAAUAGUGUGCACUGCUUUAGCAGAGGGCUGGGGUUUGGUCCCAUGCUGAGCUACCCACAAUCAUCUUAAACUCCAGCUGCAGAGGGAUCUGACACCUCUGACCUUUGGAGACACCUGCAGUCACAUGAGCACAUCCUCAUUAAGUUAUGGUUCCAACCUGGCCUGAGAUAAAGUGGACUAACCACUACAUUGGUAAUCAGAAGUUUUGUGUGAGAUGUUCUAGCUGGGAAAGCAAGUUAAAUGGGCCUCUGCUAUCAUCACUUGUUAAAUGGAUUCCUUUAUAAAGUUUAAAAGACUAAAUUAAAUACCCAUGAAAAGGCUUGGAGAAAUGGAAAACUAGAUACUAGUGUGUUAUGCCUAAUGCAAAUUUAAACCUAGAAAAAAAACUGGGCAGAGUUAAAAAUUAAUAGUGUUGCAGAAAAAUAUGCUUUUGAAUCCUGUGAGGAAAAUUAGUUCAUCUUUGAUCAUAGUUAUAGAAGAAAUAGUCACAAGCAGCUGGAGAGGUGGCUCCGUGGUUCAGGGCGCUUAUUCUUGCAGAGGACUUUGGUUCAGUUUCCAACCAACAUGCUGGAUCAUAACCAUCUGUAACUCAAGUUUCAGGGGAUCAGAUGCCUUCUUUUGACCUCCUUGAACACCAGGUGUAUGCACAUGGUGCCUGUACAUGCACACGCACGCACACACGUGCAUGCAAGUAAACUACUCAUAUAUAAAACAAAAUAAAUCUUUUUUUAAAGUUACCAAAAUAUCGACAAUACACUUUAUCAUUGCUCUCAUCAAUCAGACAAGGAAGACAGUUUGUGAAACAUGCUGGUUGGGUUGUAGAGAACUGAAGUUAUAAAUGAUUACCAGAACUUUAGUAAGUUUUCCUUCAGAAAUAAUUUAGCAAACUAUUUUUCAAUUUAGCAACAAAUGAUACAAAAGUUGUGCAUAUUCUUUCAUCUAGAUAUUCUACUGUAGACACUAUAGAAGUGAUGGUACAAAUACCACUCAAGAUAAAUGCACAAGGAUUUUUCUGCAGGGGUGUUUUAUUGAUAGAGUAGUCUAUUGUACAAGGAACAAGGAGAGUCUGGGAUCUUUCUAGACCCUAGAUCUCCUUGACCUUUCAGCCUUCCUGUUUCCUUCAGCCUGUACAAUGCUGGGAUUGCAGGUGUGACCUACUACAUAUGGAUUGAAGCACAAUUAGCUUGAAACCAUCCUAAAGAUGCAUCCCAGGGAACUUGCUGAGUAAACACUUCUACUCUUCCCAUGAAAAUUCUAUGUGCGGGAUUGGGAAUGCAUGGUUUAGGUGACGAGAACAAAAGACCAAUGUGCAGACAGAAUGUAUCUUGUGACCUCAUAUAAUACACAUUCAUCCUUAUACACACAGACAGCUACUGAAUGUCCUGGGCAUUGGAGAACAAGAAGUAAGAAAAUAUUAGAUGUUCUCUCUUGAGGCAUCUAUGUUGGCUAAAAGAGAAUCAUAAUUUCUGAAUACAUAAGAAAAUUGGUGAUGUGCGUCCCAGUGAAAACAGAGAAUGAAGGAGAUAGAGUAAGGAAAUGAGAGCUCACAGGGAGCAGAGUAUUAAGGGACAUCACUAAAAGCUUAACUGAGCAUUGGUUCGGGAAUCCAGGUGUAGGCUGUGAUGUAUCCAUGUGGUACACUUACUCCUGUGAAGUCUAAACCAUAAGGCUCCUCUCAGAGAUUCUUCUUGAAAUAAUGAACUAAUAAGUAGUAUAGUAUAACAUAUAAUGCAUACUAUAUCUAAUUUGUAAUGGAGGUAUUUAAAAUAACCAGUGGUUCAGAACAACUAAUUGUCAGGAUGGUAAACAAAACCACUGUGUCUUUGUCCUUAAGUUAGCCCUCGCUCCUCUAGGCUUCCCCGAGAACGAGGGGGAAUACUAAAUAUCUGUUUAAUAGAACCCUGGCAGCCCAUCCUUGAUGUGACAUGCCCCUCUUCUCUGCAGACAUUUCACAGGGCUACAAGUUCUGUUGAUCUUGUCUUUUGUCUCCCUGGAAACUAAACAGCUGCAGUCAGCUGGGCCUUGAUUGUUUGCUGACUUUUUCCGAUUCUUGACUUUCCUGAAGUAUAUGGCUAAAUAUAGGGACUUCUGGCUCUCUUAUCGCCUCAGUCUUUCCAUGUACAGAGAUUUGUUAUCACUAACAGACCACCCUUACAAGACAGACCUUCUACAGCAGAACAGAAAUGGGGGUGGGAAGCAUGCUAGAAACAUUUGUCAUUUAGUAGGACCCAAUGCAGAGAAGAAGUGGUGUAGCUUAAUUAAAAACAUGGGUAAGGAUCUCAUAAAACUGAAAAAAAAAAAAGGAAAUGUCUAUCCACAUAUAUUCAUGAUGGAGCAACAAAAAUACAGCUCUGAGACAUCCAGUGUCUGGGACAGCUCCCUGACGUAUUUUAUAUUUACCAAAGCCAUAACCAAUCAUCCUUCAGCUUGAAUGUAGCAUAGAUGCUGAGGGUCAGGCAUGAGCAGACGUAGAGAAGAUGCUAGCUGGAGCUCCAGUGACCUCCAUCACAAAAAGCUCCAGUUGGGAGAGCCCCGUGUGCUUACCGUUGGAGACUGGACAGUUGGAAUACAGAUUUAUCAUUGCAUCUUCCAGUUCAGUUUCUAAGGAAGUUGGAGACCUGGGACUUAGUCUUGUAUUUAUGUUGCAGCAGGCACUUUUUUUUCUUUUAUAACAUACCAAUGCAUUCAAAACAUAUUUAAUCUCUAUGUUUUUAAUGUGCUUGCUUCAUACCUUCUUUUAGGUUUUAUGGUAGGCUCUCUGCAGGUGAGAAUACUUACUAUAGAGAUGAAGACAAACUUUUCUCUUUAAUUGAGAAAAAAUAAAGAUAAACUAUAAGGAUUAAGCAUGGUAUCUAGAGAGGUGGGUUUUUGAGAAUUUGCCCUUGAUAGAAAUGAGAAUGGAGAAGAUAUAUAUUCCAGAGUCAUGGUCACACCAUUUUACUUUGGUAUUGUAAUAUUUGACUUUCUGAAUAUCGACAUAUGUCCAAUAUUAUUAUUAGCCAAUAUUGAUAUUUAAAUAGGCUGUUACAUAUGUACUCCAAAUCUCAGUUAGCCCUACAGACAUAUUAACAUUCAUAAUGAUUUACCGAUCUUUCAAAGUGGAAAUAUUGAUCAUGCAUUUGGUUUACUAACCGUCUCAAGGGCAUUGAAUCUAGCACCAUAAAAUAUUGUGGCAUUAGUGAGUGACUCUGUCUUCUAGACCCCUACUAUUUUUAUAGUGGAUAUAAAGCAUAUUUUACUACAUUUAUUUAUUGUUUAUGGGUGAAGUCAAAGGACAACUUGAGGAAGUCAGUUCUCUCCUACCAAGUAGUUCUUAGGAACCAAACUCAAGUCAUCAGGCUUGAAGCAAGGGCCUUUCCCCACUGAGCCAUGUCUCUGGCCAGUAAAACACAUUGUAAAGUAAUCAUUAAAAGC